UUCCGAUCUGGGAUAACGAAGCGAAAGCUUUGCUAAUACCGCAUACGAUCUACGGAUGAAAGCAGGGGACCGCAAGGCCUUGCGCGAACGGAGCGGCCGAUGGCAGAUUAGGUAGUUGGUGGGAUAAAAGCUUACCAAGCCGACGAUCUGUAGCUGGUCUGAGAGGACGACCAGCCACACUGGGACUGAGACACGGCCCAGACUCCUACGGGAGGCAGCAGUGGGGAAUAUUGCACAAUGGGCGCAAGCCUGAUGCAGCGACGCCGCGUGAGGGAUGACGGCCUUCGGGUUGUAAACCUCUUUCAGCAGGGACGAAGCGCAAGUGACGGUACCUGCAGAAGAAGCACCGGCCAACUACGUGCCAGCAGCCGCGGUAAUACGUAGGGUGCAAGCGUUGUCCGGAAUUACUGGGCGUAAAGAGCUCGUAGGCGGUUUGUCGCGUCUGCUGUGAAAAUCCGGGGCUCAACCCCGGACUUGCAGUGGGUACGGGCAGACUAGAGUGCAGUAGGGGAGACUGGAAUUCCUGGUGUAGCGGUGAAAUGCGCAGAUAUCAGGAGGAACACCGGUGGCGAAGGCGGGUCUCUGGGAAAUAACUGACGCUGAGGAGCGAAAGCGUGGGUAGCGAACAGGAUUAGAUACCCUGGUAGUCCACGCCGUAAACGAUGUCAACUAGCCGUUGGGAGCCUUGAGCUCUUAGUGGCGCAGCUAACGCAUUAAGUUGACCGCCUGGGGAGUACGGCCGCAAGGUUAAAACUCAAAUGAAUUGACGGGGGCCCGCACAAGCGGUGG
rnacentral:rRNA from 1 species